rnacentral:rRNA from 1 species
UACGUAGGGGGCAAGCGUUGUCCGGAAUUAUUGGGCGUAAAGCGCGCGCAGGCGGCCUAUUAAGUCUGAUGUGAAAGCCCACGGCUCAACCGUGGAGGGCCAUUGGAAACUGGUAGGCUUGAGUGCAGGAGAGGAGAGCGGAAUUCCUGGUGUAGCGGUGAAAUGCGUAGAUAUCAAGAGGAACACCUGAGGUGAAGACGGGUUGCUGGGCUGACACUGACGCUGAGGCGCGAAAGCCAGGGGAGCAAACGGG